CUCUACGGUACAUCGAUCAUGAUGAUAGUGAAGCAGAACAGGAGCGCCCUGUGUUGCUUCGUGGCCACCCUUCUUCUCUCCUCGUGUGACGCCCGCAAACAGAUGUAUGUAGAUGGUUCAGCCCCGUGCUUUUCCCCUGCCUGCUUCAUGCUACUCCAAACACUUACCGGACUGCACCGACGAGCGGUGCAAGAAGUUCUGCGGCGGUGACGACAUGCCACCGGUCCCCGCGGCCUUCUGCAAUGACGACAACAACUGUUGUUGUCCCGUUAUCUAGGAGAAAAUGGAGAUGUCAAUAAUAUAAGCAGGAGAUCAGACUCUUUCUAAAAUCUUUGUAAACCAGUUUUUUCGGCAAUAUUUUGAACGAUUUUAUCAUUGUGUGUCUCAUUCGUUCGUGUACAUGGAGACAUAUCAAAAUUAAUGAAGGUUGAACAAACAUGGUGUGA